CUACGGGGGGCAGCAGUAGGGAAUCUUCCACAAUGGGCGAAAGCCUGAUGGAGCAACGCCGCGUGAGUGAAGAAGGUUUUCGGAUCGUAAAACUCUGUUGUAAGGGAAGAACAAGUACAGUAGUAACUGGCUGUACCUUGACGGUACCUUAUUAGAAAGCCACGGCUAACUACGUGCCAGCAGCCGCGGUAAUACGUAGGUGGCAAGCGUUGUCCGGAAUUAUUGGGCGUAAAGCGCGCGCAGGCGGUCCUUUAAGUCUGAUGUGAAAGCCCACGGCUCAACCGUGGAGGGUCAUUGGAAACUGGGGGACUUGAGUGCAGAAGAGGAAAGUGGAAUUCCAAGUGUAGCGGUGAAAUGCGUAGAGAUUUGGAGGAACACCAGUGGCGAAGGCGACUUUCUGGUCUGUAACUGACGCUGAGGCGCGAAAGCGUGGGGAGCAAACAGGAUUAGAUACCCCAGUAGUC
rnacentral:rRNA from 1 species